rnacentral:rRNA from 1 species
CCUACGUGUGGCAGCAGUGGGGAAUAUUGGACAAUGGGGGGAACCCUGAUCCAGCCAUGCCGCGUGUGUGAAGAAGGCCCUCGGGUUGUAAAGCACUUUCAGUGAGGAAGAACGCCUGGUGGUUAAUACCCAUCAGGAAAGACAUCACUCACAGAAGAAGCACCGGCUAACUCCGUGCCAGCAGCCGCGGUAAUACGGAGGGUGCGAGCGUUAAUCGGAAUUACUGGGCGUAAAGCGCGCGUAGGUGGCUUGAUAAGCCGGUUGUGAAAGCCCCGGGCUCAACCUGGGAACGGCAUCCGGAACUGUCAAGCUAGAGUGCAGGAGAGGAAGGUAGAAUUCCCGGUGUAGCGGUGAAAUGCGUAGAGAUCGGGAGGAAUACCAGUGGCGAAGGCGGCCUUCUGGACUGACACUGACACUGAGGUGCGAAAGCGUGGGUAGCAAACAGGAUUAGAUACCCCAGUAGUC